ACAUCUUUUAGAGAGCAGAAAGACAUCAACUUGGCUUAGCUUGUACCAGUAAACACUGUAUCGUGAUACGUAUCGUAUCGCGACCCCUGUAUCGCGACCCUCCCGUAUCGUUACACCUCUAAUGCGUAGUGUUAUCAAUGUCAGGCAAUAACGAUUGUAAACUAAUUGUGUCAUACUUUUUUUACUCAUUUGUAAUUAACUGAUUUAAAAUACACAUUUAUUUCAAUGAAAGGAUUUCAAUUUUUUUUUUUGGUUUUUGGUCGCCCGGCCCGUCAGCGAAAAAUGUAUUUUGGGUAGAGAAAUUAUACUUCUUCGAAAGAUAAAUUGCUGAGCAGAAACUACAAGCUGCGCCCCACCCCACCUCUACCCGUACCCACUCCCACGGGUAUCAGUAAGUUUAAUAUUGAGGAGGGUAGCCUGGGGUGGUACGUCCACUUUGAUUACCUCUGUCACCUCUGGGACAAAGGUGUUCAUAUUUAACAUUGAAGUCCUUGCCUUAAUGUGCACGUUCUGAUGCAAAAAGUAGUGAACAUGAAAUUCAUAACGAGGCUUUCGGAAACUUUCAGCAUUGCGUGUGCAUGUCAUGCGAUCCAGCUAAUGUUCCUUCUGAUCGAUGAGCGGAGCUACACUGCCGAGUUCGGUUUUCGAUCACCAAAAAGUUGAAAUAAAAAAAAUAAAAUUGAUGUUUUGUAGUAUGGUAGUCUUAUCUAGUUAAGUAAUUUAGCCCAUGAUGUACAUUUGUGAUGAAAUACUGAAUUAAUCUUUUUUUAAAUGUACUAUUUCAAAGGUAUGAUGCUGAAUAUAUAAUCCAAGACAAUUUAGAAUGUCAUUUAUUUAAUCAAAAUUCAAAUUAAUGGUAAAACUUUGAUGAAGAUACUUCAGUACAGAUUUUUCAGGACAUUAUCCAUUGUAGAAAAACACCCAGAGCCUUGUUUCAAAUUUGAUUUAUUCUAACUAAAGAUAUAUUAUUUCAGUUUAUCAUUAUCCCUUUUCCUAUGUUUACAAGCAAUGAAACUGUGCAUAAAAUUACUUGUCCCCAAUACUUUCCUGCUAUUUUUUGCAUACAAGUGUUUGUAAUAUGAACUUACCUUUGUAUCUGAUCUUUUAAUGAUAAACGUUUAUUUGCAGUUUUGGUUUACCAUGAUGUAAUCUACAUAUAUUUUGGUAUCAUAUAAUAAAUGAAAUCUGUUUUGUGGUAACCAGACUUUUCAGGGAUGGGGCUAUGGCUAUUAAAGUGAAACUACUUUCCCUGGGAAAUUAUUUCUGCUACAUGGCUCCAGAUAAGGACUGUAUGUACAAGUGCUACACUGUAUGUAAAAGUGCAAAUAUACGAGAUAAGAUGUAUGAAUUAAGGAAAGGACCUGAUGUCUGUGUAUGGCCAAAGCUUUAUUUAAAUGUUACUUUUAUGUUUUGAGCAAUAUUCCCCUCAACCUCUUGACAUCAUCACCAUAAUAGCUAAGUGCUCACUGCUGCUACACAAACUUAUAUUUCUAUUUAAGAAAACCAGAUGUUCAGCCAUUGCCUAUUGGCAAACAUGGGUGAGCUGAAUGAACUCUUAGCAGCUUUUCCAAAAUCGAGCAACUGAGAGUACUGAAGCUGAGGAGGAAGCCUGCAGUUGGGCUCUUACAAGCCACUGACAAGUACAUGGUGACCUGGGUAAAAGAAUGGCUUCGAGUUCCAGGAGCAAGGCUUAGAAAUGGCAUAAGGAAAACGCGUACUGAAAAACAGAGGUGUAGAAAGAGAAUCUGCAAACAAAAGUGCUGAAUUGCAACAGAACAAAGAAAUCCAAAAAGUUGGUGUUGACAACAUAUUUUUCACAGGGUUAUGACCCUUGUUUUUGAACUUGGUACAUAUACUGCCAGGACACUACUGAAGUUAAUAAAUGAAACCGUCUGUGCUUAUCUAAGGUACAAACUCCAUAAGAUGGUUAUAAGAACUUAUUUUGUAUGGAGUUAUGGCCUUUGCUUCAUGCUUUUUUAACUUGAUGAAAUAUAGGGGGAAACAGUUUGUCUCACAAACGAAUUUGAAGCCACAUAAAUGAAAUUUUGCAGGUCAAUAUUAGGGGUAUAUGUUUAGACUGUGUUUUAAAACUGGUUUUGAGAAUAUAUGUUUCACAUCCGCCUUGUUGCAGGUAGUAACACUGUUUUCUUGUUAAUAAUAAUUAAUUAAUAAUAAAGUUUAUUAUUCUA
rnacentral:lncRNA from 1 species